rnacentral:tRNA from 1 species
GCGUCUGUAGCUCAGUUGGUUAGAGCACCACCUUGACAUGGUGGGGGUCGUUGGUUCGAGUCCAAUAGAACGCACCA